GUCUAUGGCCAUGCUACCCUGAAUAAGCCCAAUGCCGUCUGAUCUCGGAAGUUAAGCAGGGUCGGGCCUGGUUAGUACUUGGAUGGGAGACCACCUAGGACGACCAGGUGCUGUAGGCA
rnacentral:rRNA from 1 species